UUAAAUUGAAGAGUUUGAUCAUGGCUCAGAUUGAACGCUGGCGGCAGGCCUAACACAUGCAAGUCGAACGGUAACAGGAAGCAGCUUGCUGCUUCGCUGACGAGUGGCGGACGGGUGAGUAAUGUCUGGGAAACUGCCUGAUGGAGGGGGAUAACUACUGGAAACGGUGGCUAAUACCGCAUAACGUCGCAAG
rnacentral:rRNA from 1 species